rnacentral:rRNA from 1 species
GGUGGCCGAACGGGUGAGUAACCGCGUUAAAGAACUGCCUACAGGACUGGGACAACAUUUGGAAACGGAAUGCUAAUACCGGGAUAUUUAUGAACUGAGUCGGCAUGAUUUGGGUUAUGAAAGCUAUAUGCCCUGUGAGAGACUUUGCGUCCCAUUAGUUAAUUGGUGAGGUAACGGCUCACCAAGACGAUGAUGGGUANCCGGCCUGAGAGGGUGAACGGCCACAAGGGGACUGAGACACGGCCCUUACUCCUACGGGAGGCAGCAUGGGGAAUAUUGGACAAUGGACCAAAAGUCUGAUCCAGCAAUUCUGUGUGCACGAUGAAGUUUUUCGGAAUGUAAAGUGCUUUCAGUUGGGAAGAAGUCAGUGACGGUACCAACAGAAGAAGCGACGGCUAAAUACGUGCCAGCAGCCGCGGUAAUACGUAUGUCGCAAGCGUUAUCCGGAUUUAUUGGGCGUAAAGCGCGUCUAGGCGGUUUAGUAAGUCUGAUGUGAAAAUGCGGGGCUCAACCCCGUAUUGCGUUGGAAACUGCUAAACUAGAGUACUGGAGAGGUAGGCGGAACUACAGGUGUAGAGGUGAAAUUCGUAGAUAUUUGUAGGAAUGCCGAUGGGGAAGCCAGCCUACUGGACAGAUACUGACGCUAAAGCGCGAAAGCGUGGGUAGCAAACAGGAUUAGAUACCCUGGUAGUCCACGCCGUAAACGAUGAUUACUAGGUGUUGGGGGUCGAACCUCAGCGCCCAAGCUAACGCGAUAAGUAAUCCGCCUGGGGAGUACGUACGCAAGUAUG